rnacentral:rRNA from 1 species
GCCAGAGCCAUAGCUCUCUGCAGUUCUCACCAGGUUUCCCACUGAAUCUAAGCAGCAUUGAGGUUGGGCAGUACCUGGAUGGGAGACCUCCUGCGGUAAACUAAGGUUGCUGCUGGAU